UCUGGGCUGGAGGCUGUAGGGGAAGGACUUGUCUAGGAAAUGCCUGUGGAGGGCCAGCUACUGCCCUCUGACUGCACUGGGAAUCAGAGCCUCCGUGGGCUUGCCUGAACUCCGGUGACUGGAGGAGCCAUCAGAGGUGACUAGCCAAGCUGACCACAGAGAACCUGAUGUUUCAUGGGAGACCCCAACACAGACACUGGUGCCAUCUGAGCUCUGAGGAACUUGGGUCUCUUCUUCCAGUAUCUCAUAUGAGCUCUGGGAAUUUGAACUCUCAUUUUCUCCUGGCCUUCUCCUUCUCAUUUUAACUAAGCAGUGGUGGUGUCUCUGUGCUAUCUGAAAUACAAACGGAUAUCCUGUGCCUUCAAAGACCAGACUUUGAGUUUGAAAUGUGCUGCAUACAAACUAUAUAAAUCCAGCAAAUUAUCAGCCUUUCUGCUCAGAAGGAAGGUUGAGGUGAACAGGGACUUGGCCAAAGGGGUAUCAUGAGUCAGAGAUGAAAAAGAACUGUACUUCAAAAAUAAUGUUUUGCUUACAUUGUUGAAUUAUGGUCAAGCAAAGAAAAAAGGGGACAGGGUCUUUGCCGAUGCUUCAUUGUGACAGGCUAUGGAAGCCUAUCCUGUCUGUGUAGGAACAUCUGGUAUUCUUGGCCUUAGCACUCCAGGUCUUAUACCAUAUCCUGCCCAGCACUGCUGAAGUAAACCAGGUGUAAGUGGUUUCCACAGGACAGCCAAAACCACAUCUUACUCUGAGAAAACGUGUCUUGAACAUAAAGGCUUCCUUCUCAAGGGCCAGAGCUCCCUUUUCCCAACUGGUAGUCAGCAGAAGUGUUUACAGAGGCUGGCGGCCCAAGGAGUUGAAUUCAGAAAUCAUGAAAGCUCCAUCCUUCACAAAAUAAACCUUCAAAGGAGAUUCAGAACCAUCAGCAACAAAACCCUUUCUAUUCUCAUCUAUGGCUGCCCCCUCCAUUCCAGCUUCAUGUUUAUUUAACAAUUUAAAAAAUAAAUCCCUUGCUUUGAGCUCAGGGGAUUGAUAUUUUUAAGGUGUGGGGGGAGGGGAUUUUCCAUGUACAUUUCCCAUAAUAUUUUAUUUUUCCUUUUGCUAUUUUACGUUAGCCCUUGUUGACAAUUACAGCCCUCACGCUUCCCCUAUUCUAGUUGACUGGUGGGUGAAGUGGGGAAAUGGUAAUGAUAAAAGCCAAACCUUCACCUUGUUUUACCAGCAUGGUCCUAUUGAUACUCAUAUUUGAAUAACUUUGUCAAAUAAGAUUUGGCCUGAAAUAGAUAUGUGGGCCACAUUUGCAAAUAUCCGCCCCUAUUUUGUUCCUGCAAAGUCUGCAUAUUCUGCAGUUAACUGCACAUGCUAAAUGGGAUAUGAGACUUCUUAAGAGUAUAGUUAUGGUGGAAAAACAAGUCUGUUUAAUUUGCAUUAGAAUUAUGCAUUAAAACCUUCACAUCAGCCUUUAUAAAAUAAUAUAAAAACAAAUAUACUAUAAUCUACAGUAGUUGCCUCAAAAAUGUCUGAGCACAGAGCUGACUGAAAUAUUUGUUGCAAAUAAUAAUUGCUAUGAAUGUAGCUUCUUGUUUGGGUAGUGGAUAGUUCAGGAGACAACCCUUAUUUCUGCCAGCGUAUGCAUUAUUCUUGAGAUUUUGCCAAAUAUUCGGGUCUUCAAUGAAAGAUUUUCAGCCAUCAUGAGCUGUUUGAUUUGAUUAUUAUUUGUGUUUUGUGGCUGGUCACUCAAGUCACAUGGUAUAAUUUUGUUUCCUGAUGGUAUGGUUGAAACUCUUCAAGCAGAACAGUGAUGAGCAAGGCGUAAUGAUCGUCCCACGUGUGUUUUGGGUUGCAUACAAAAAGGCCUUUAUUCUCCCAAACUCUGAUAUCUGCUGUAGUGAAGUUUCAAGAGCCUGGAACCUGGGAGGAUCCCCAAAAAGGAGAACUUCAGACGUUAACGGAAGAGAGCCGCCUCAGUCAAUAAGCUAUAAGUGCCUAGCUAAGAAGAACUGCUGUCAUCAGAUGGGAAAAGACCUCCAAGUCCACUUCCUAACAACCUAUUUUAAUAACAAGAGCAAUAACGGGA